UAUACGACUCUCGGCAACGGAUAUCUCGUCUCUCGCAUCGAUGAAGAACGUAGUGAAAUGCGAUACUUGGUGUGAAUUGCAGAAUCCCGUGAACCAUCGAGUCUUUGAACGCAAGUUUCACCCGAGGCCUUUCGGUUGAUGGCACGCCUGCCUGGGCGUCACGC
rnacentral:rRNA from 1 species